rnacentral:lncRNA from 1 species
UGGGAGUUGAGAAGGACGAACAAUGGCAAACCUGUAAUUUCAAUAUUUAUUUGGGGCAGAUUAGUAACUACAAUUACACCUAUCCCUUAUAUACGUUUUCUUCGUUCAUAUCAAUGGAUUCUAGAAUCCACUCCACAGCUCUAUACUCCAGAGCUCAUACAGACAUCACUUUGUUUCCAUUGCUUCUCUGCUUCUGGGUUUCUUAACUGGUCAUCAUUUUCAUAUUUCUCUGCUUUGGUUCGAUUUUGUCUUGUGUGGUUGUAUUUCUGAGUUGUGGUAAGGUUUUUCCUUUUUUUCUUUAUUAUUUAUCGCACUUGCCCUAUUCCCUGCUUGUCAACUAGAAUAGAACUAUAUUAAAGAAAAGUUUUUUUCUUGUGUGUGCUUGGAGUAUAUGCAUUUAUAUACCUCUUUGGCUCUUCUUUCUUUGCUUGGCUUUCUUCAAUUCAACCAGACCAUAUUUUUCUUAAUUAAUGCUUGCCGGUUUUAUUGUUUUUCAUGUUUCAUACUUCUGUUACUUUUGGGUUUCUAAUUUUCUUUAUGUAUGCCUUUCCCAGUUUGAUUUUUGGUGGUUCCGGCAGCCUAGGCAUUUCUGGGUGAUUGUGAUUGGCUCUUUUUCAGGUACAUAAUUAUGAUGGUUUUCUCCUUCUUCUUCCUUGGUUGUUUUCCAUUUUCCUCUUUUCCCUCUUUUUAGUUCGUUUUCUGUUAAGACUACUUUGUAAUUCUCGAGUGUUCCAUAUAAUUAAAUUCUUUUACUUUAUAUUUUAAUUAAGGAUUUUGAGAUUUUAACCUAAAAUUUAUAAUUGGGGGGUUUAUAGAAUUCAAUCGAUCUCCAAAUGCACAUAGUGAUUUUGGAGUUCAAAGGGAAACAAUGGGCGAAGACUAUAAUAAAGAUGUUUGAUAGUGCUAUGAGCGGCUCAUACAGAUAUUAGAGAGUUAAGUAAUUGAAUUUGAGAAAGCUAUAAGAAUUUCUGUGGAAGCUUUUGUCUUUCGUAUCGAUGGUGAUGAUAUUUCAUUUAUUGGGAUUUCAAUAUUAGUUGUUGCUAAUUCUCCUCUUUUUCUUUUUGUUGACUGCUAUCAGGUUACAUUUUGUUUGAACGGUAAGUGGUGAUCAAAUCUUACACUUUUUCAUUUUCGACAUUCUUAGUAUAUCACAAUUGUGACGCCGAGCUUCAUUGAAAAUAUUUGUCUCAUUUGUUGUAUCUCAAUGGUUUUCUCUGUUGCUAUAGUUCUUCUAUGUGCUUUUAUUUUUGGGUGCAUGUUGGUUCUCUGCCUUUUUUCUAGACAAUUCCACUUAUGAAUUUUUUCUUCACAGUUUAUAAUAAUGAUCUGGCUGUGGUAUGAGUUUUCAAUUAAGUAGACAAUUGAUUGUUCCUUCUAACUUGGCAUGCAUGUCCCUUCUACUUGAUUUUCCUAGAGUUAAAUGGUUGAAUUCUUUGUUACCUGGGAGAGAGAAAGUGAAAUAAGUUUAUGUUGAGAAGAGUUGUUUUGUAGUUUCUGAGUAUUGAGAAUAGUUUUUUUAUAAGGUAAAUUGUAUUAAUUAAAAGGGAGAAAAAACUCCCGUAUACAAGAAGUAUACCAAAAAGUAGAGAACAGUAUUGAGAGUAGUUUUACGAAGUAACUGGUUUACUCUUGAACUUAAAAGAAAAUGCAGAAAUUCAUUUGAUCUCAAAUAUUUCAAAUGCACUAGAUACCUUGCUGAAAUGCUGAAUGAUUAUGCUACUAAGUUAUGUUUGAAGGACAGUAAAGUUAAAAAAGGAAGUAAAGCUCUAAUGGUGAAAUGAUAGGACUGGGAUAGAAUUUGUUGCUGGUGUAGAAUUUGGAAAGUUGGAAAGAUUUGUUGCUGGUGUAGAAUUUGCUGCUACUGCGCUCUGCAUGCCUACGGACACUGAGUGAUAUUUUUUUAAAUAUUUUUGUUGUUGUUGCUUCCUGAUUUUGUUUUGAAAGUAUAGUAAGUUGAAAUUCAUUAGGUUAGAUCUGUAUAUGUACAAUUAAAUUACUGAGGGAAGUGAGUUGAGCUUCUAAGCGAGAUGGGUAAGUGGACGAUGUUCAUUGAUCUAAGGAACAACCAAUGUUUGGAAGAUGCUGCUACGUGCAAUACACGUACUAGAAUGCAAUGUCUGCACCUGUUAGCUUUCUGGACUAACUUACAAGAUGUAUGCAACUUAGACUACGCUUUGUGUUAUGAGUUCAUUAUACCAUUCAGGAAUUCUAGGACUCAUUGUUGUUUCCCCAUCUUUUGUAACCUUUUUGAUCCAAAAUAUGUGCAUACCAGCACCUAUUUGAUGUUAAUUAAUAGUUCUUGAUUUCUUAUUAAAAAAAAAUAAGUUUUUGAGUUUACUAUUGUAGUGUUGGGCCCGUAUACCCGUUUUUGUGUCACAUUUUAACUUGUGUCUGCUUUGCAAAAAAAAUUGCAAGCGUACCCGCUUUUUCGCAUAACUUCAGCAUACGGGGCUGAAGUAGCAAAGACAAUCACGCAAAACUUCAGCAUCAUUUUAGUAGACGGCCCUGAAGUAGCAAGUGUGCUGAAGUUUUUGUUUUUGUAACUGACGAACUUCAUGUUACAUCCUGCAAUAUUACGUCAAUAUUAUGUCCCGCAGUAUUAUAUUACGACAAUGUUAUGUUAUGUGGUAAUAAGUUACGACGGUGUUGCACCCUACAAUAUUUUACAUUGAAUUUGUUGUAAGAUAAUUGACAUCAAUCCAAGGAAAAGAUUAUUUGGGAAUUAUAAGGAUUAUACUAUUUUACAAGUGAUUAGUAAAUUCAUGAAGGUGAAACGGGGAGCAAGUCUAAGAAAACAAAUUUUGUCAAAGUUUGGUAUUUUGGAAUAAAAUACGGCCCGAGUUAAAAUACCCGAUAUUUAUGAACUAGUACCAUACAAGGUACUACAUGGCCAUGCUACUAAGGUGUACAAGGUAUGUUAAAAGAGAGUAAUCUUUUAAGUAAGUGGGAAUAAUUUUCAAAUUUUGCUGGUAAUUGAUUAACUACCGGGUAACGAGACAUUAUCUAAUUAAUUAGUAUUAAGUGGAUAAAUAUCCUUUUUGGGCUGCCGUUUGGCACUAAUGUAAGCCAAAGUGGAAACAAAAUCUUGAUGAGUCAUUAGGCAUGAGAUUCCCUAUCUACACGUACAAAUCUUGAAAAUUGAAAAGCAAGACAAAAUCAUUUUCUUUGGUCUCUUUAUCAAUUUGCUUUUGACUUUAGAUGCCAAGAAUAAUUAAAAAGCAGAAGCAUUUCCAUUUUCAAACAAAAGCUUCAAUUGAAGCAAUUUUCGUCCAAAUUUUUAGAAAAAUCAGGCCAAUUUCGUUCCACAAGUUUGAAAACGCAGAAGCCUAAAUCUAAUUUUUGGGUCUAAGUUCACUCCACAAAGGUUUCCAACGGGAUAAAUAUACGGAAUUGUUCCUACUCCAAGUAUGUUAAGGCUAUGUCCUUUCUUCAUUCUGGCAUGAUCUGUACGAUACAAACUAAACGAGCAACAUAGUCCAUUUCCAUCCGUACUGCAUUUUUAAUAAAGGUUAUCUACUUGCACAUAUGAAGACAUUGGCUUUGAAAUUUAUUCUGUUCGUUUUCUCUUGGAGUUCCACUAUGUCUUAUGGCCUUUGGUACAUGAUUUGUUGUAAGAGAUUUCCAUUGCAUCUAUUAUGCUUGUCUCAUGGACAUAGUUUAAUAGCAAUUUGUGUGGUCCAAUCUAUUUAGGAUCACAACUUAGCCAUGACAAUGAUCAGAUACUAAGGUAUCUAAUAUAUUUUUGAAGA